CCAGGUGCCAUAUUGUCGCCGUUAAUGACUGCUAAUGAAUAUUUUUGCAUUGGAAUAUAAUCCGCUGGCAGAUAGUCAAACGAGUGCAAAACGCGGUUAAGGACCGCUAAAAGUAAUUUGUAUAUUGUGUGAGAAAAUAUCCCGUAGCAUACAAUAGAAAUAUGAUUAUUACCAUUGUUAUGAAGAAUUUUUUAAUCUAUAUUACACAGAGUGAAGUCGACAACCGUGUUACAUAAUCCUGUGGUACUAUUGUAGAUCAAUUUACUGAUUUGUAAUGCAUAUAUCACUUGCAAUGCAUAGUGUUACAUCACAAUACUAGCGGAUGAAUUAGCUGUGUAUGAGUUUUCGAAAUUUAUUAAAUUAAAUUAGAAAUGUAUAAAAUCUAAACCGAAGAAUUUUGUCGACAGGUUUUUAAGUUUCUAUUGUUUUAUUUUACAAUAAGUAUAAUUUGGAAUUUAAAGUUGAAAAAAAAGCAAAUGAGGAACC